AUUAACCCCCUGGCCCAGGUCACCGACUUGUCGUGGAGUUCAUUGGAAUGUGAUGGGAAGGAGGAGAAGAAGGAGAAGGUGAUGGAGAGUCUCCUGGAGGCAGCUGAAUUUUUGGCAUGGCCGAGAAGACCUGGGGUGGACCCUUGACCCGCAUUGGGCCCACUCUUGCUUCUCUCCCGGGAACUAAGACUUAGGAUUUAUGAAUGCUGGUCUGUCUGUGCAGGAAUGGUGUGUGAGGGUAUGUAAGCUAGGGAACUGAGUGGUGACAUCUGCCCUGGACACUGGGAGGACAUUUGGGAAAGAUGGAGCAGCAAGUAGAGAGAGAAGCAGAGAUGGGGGAGCAAUUCAAGGGGAGAGUGAGAAGGGAGAGAACCAAGAGGGAGAGGGAGAGGAAGAUAGAGAGGGAGGCAGAAGGACAGGGUCAGGGACAGGGCUAAGAAGGAAUGGAGAGAGAGAGAGGAUGGAGGAAAAGAGGGAGAAAAACAGACAU
rnacentral:lncRNA from 1 species